GUCUGAAGGGCCUUAAGACAUCCUCUUUCACUGUGUAGUAGUGCAGUCUACAGACCACAUCUCAUGGUUGUUCAGCUUGUGAGCCUCUUGGGCGCAGUGUCAGCAGGUUUGUUUAGGAGGAGAUUGAGCAGCUCAGAGAGGAUGCCGUGUAAGUCCUCUUUCAACCUUUCUGGAAGGACUUUGACCCGUAAAUUAUUCCGC